AUGAACACCCAAGUAAACAAUAAAAACAGCUAUGAAGGAAACGAAAAGGAACCUAAUGAAAUGAAAAGAAAAAACGAAGGAAAUGGCCGUAAAAGUUUAAAACGACUUAGACAGAAACCUAUCAAUAAUAACAUAGAAACAGAUGAGGAAGAAAAUGUAACUGAUUUGGAUGAACAAAAAAACGUUCAAGUUAAUUCUAAAAGCCCAAUUUAUGAUAAUAACAAAAGUUUUAGUAAUGAUAGUUCUCUUUACAAAAAAAGUAAAAAAAUUAUAGGAGAGGAUUACAAUAGUUAUAAUAGUAAUAGUGAAGAAAAUGAAAUGGAAAAACCAGAUAUUCUCAAUAUUGGUAUUAAAAAAACGAACAAAAGUUCUACUUCAAGUGAUAAUAAUUUUAUAAGUGACAGCAAUAAUAAUAAUAAUAAUAAUAAUAAUAAUAAUAAUAAUAAUAAUAAUAAUAAUAAUAAUAAUAANNNNNNNNNNAAUAAUAAUAAUAAUAAUAAUAAUAAUAAUAAUAAUAAUAAUAAUAACUAUAAAAAUAUAGAUAAAGAAGUUGAAAAUGUACAAACAAAUGAAUGUACUUUUUACCCUUCCCAUAAUGUAAAUAAAAUAGAUCAAUUAAAAAUACUUAAAAACAAUUAUUUGAAUAUACCAGUUGCUUUAUUAUAUCCUGAAGAGGAAAAUAUACCAAACAUAGAAUCUAUUAUAUAUACAAUGAAUUAUUAUACAGCUGAAUGGGCUCACAUAUCUUAUAAUAUGAAAAAUCUAAAACUUUUUACAAAGAACAAAAAAAAACAAAAACAAGAAAUAUCAGUUACAGAAUUAGUAAAUAAAUUACAUAAACAAAAUAAAAAAAUUAUGGUUUAUUGGGGUUCAACUGAUAAAGGAGAAAAAGAAGAUAUACAAUUUUAUAUUAAUUUAAAUGUAGAAUCUCUUUGUGUGAAUGAUUUUGAUGUAACUAAAAAAGCCUUAGCCAACACAUAGUUAUUAAUUUUAGGGACUUCCAAAAAAAAAAAAAAAAAAAGUGCUACCCCUUUUUUAGUGUUUAUACAUAAUCAUUUGUCUAUGUACACACACAUACAUACACAUAUAUAUUAUACAAUCAUGAUCUUAAAUAUUAUGAUGAAUAUGUAGGGGUAACACUCCACAACUAUGCGCAUAUUUUUUACAAUAUAAUUAUUCUUUUUUAAUAAUAAUUACAGAAUUUUAUUUAAAACACCAUAUAUUUUGGUUUAUUUGGUUUAUUUGUUUUAACAGGUUUACUUGUUUUAAUUGUUUUAACAGGUUUACUUNNNNNNNNNNUACUUGUUUUAAUUGUUUUAACAGGUUUACUUGUUUUAAUUGUUUUAUUUUGUUUAUUUACUUUUUUUUUUUUUUUGCUUCAUUUGUUUUUGAUUUUUUUAAUAUUAACUUUAUGCUUUCAAAUGAAGUGAAAAACUGCCCUAUUUUCAACCAUACAUUAUUGUAUUAAUGUAUAUAUAUAUAUAUAUAUAUAUAUAUAUAUAUAUAUAUAUAUAUAUAUAUAUUUGUUUAAACACUAUUAUGAAAUAUUACAUAGCACUUAUUUUAAUAGUCUCACAAGGCAGUUUUUAUAUAUAUGAAAAAAAUAUAUGCAUAUGCGUAUAUAUAUUGUACAUUUUUAAUUUUUUCCAUUUUGUAAAACAUUUUUUACUUCACAAAAAUGUGAAUAACUGCUAUAUAAUUUUUCACACAUGUUUGUUGUAAAAAUUUAUUCAGUUAACAUAUCUUUAGUACAUUAUUUUUAUUUGCAAAGUUUUUAUAAUUUUUAUUUUUUAAAAAAAAGUUUUUUCCCUUAAUUCGAAAAAUUGUGUACAUAUAUAAACGUGCGUAUAUACAUAUAUAUAUUUGUAUAUAUGUGUAUAUAUAUAAACAUAUGUAUAAAAAUAUGAACAUAUUUUAAAAAGGCUUAAACAUGCUUAAAAAUGCUUAAAAAAGUUAGCAUUGUUACAUUAGUGUUUGUAUACACAUGUAUGUACUUUCCUUUUGAACAUGCUGGAAAUUUUAGCAUUUAUGCAAGUUUAAAAAAAAAAUAGGGACAAAAAAACAAGUUGAGUACCUAGCAUAAACGUAAGGUAUUUUUCAUUAUAAAUAAAAAAAAAAAAAUAAAAUAAAAUAAUAAUAUA
ensembl:lncRNA